rnacentral:rRNA from 1 species
CUUUCGGGUGCGUUAAUGGGCGUCGAGCGGCGGACGGGUGAGUAACGCGUGGGAAUAUGCCCUUCUCUAAGGAAUAGCCUCUGGAAACGGAGAGUAAUACCUUAUACGCCCUUUGGGGGAAAGAUUUAUCGGAGAAGGAUUAGCCCGCGUUAGAUUAGGUAGUUGGUGGGGUAAUGGCCUACCAAGCCUACGAUCUAUAGCUGGUUUGAGAGGAUGAUC